ACAUCGGCAACGACGGAUUUCUUUCACCCACCACGUCAUAUCUACCUGCUGCAGCUACCACGCCAACCGUUACAUGUACAUGUACCUGCUGUAGCCACCUGCAAUCAACGAACCUGUUCAAAGGCCAGAGCAUCUUUGACUUUACGAACUACGCUGAGGCUCUAGCUUAGCUUUUGGAUGUUACCGGUAAUUGGUGAAUUGGUGGUAGUCAUAUAUAUGGUAAGACGGCAGCCGAUGAUAUCGAAGGUAUUGGCAAUUUCUGAACGAGAAUGGGAUAUUCAAGAUCUGUGGUACAACGUAAACCUCUAGGCUAACACGGCAAGGCAAGUUGGUCGGAUUGUAAAAUAGACUGGAUGUCUUCGUGAUUGACUGAAAGCAUUUUGGAGUAACGUAGUAUGGCGACCUUUGACAUGGUGCUUUUUUAUAUUUGUCUCGCUCUGGGAUGCUUCGUAGGAGUUACUCUUUGCGCCCAACCCAAAUAUCUCAUCGUCGAAACUGAAGAGCUAGGAGACCUUUCCUGUUACAAGUGUUACAGAAGUAUUGAUGGUGAGAACUGCGUCACUGUCGAUCGGCCGCACGAGCUUGAAAAUGAAACCUGCACAACGGACAAGCCAUACUGCAUGGUGGAGCGAUACGUUGUUGGCAAUGAAAUAGCUACCUUCACCCGGAAAUGUUCCUCGUCGUGUCUAAAUGGCUGCCAGAGAUUGAAUGAGAUCUACGUCAUAGAGAAGUGCUGGGAGUGUUGUCGGGACAAUAUGUGUAACACAGGACCAGCUUUGAACAGUGGAUGGAGCUUUCUGAAAUCUCCGCCGACUUGGUUAUUGGUGUUCGCCUUCUUGCUUGGAUUAAAUGCGAAUUUUUGAUGCAUGAUACGCCACGUGGUGGUAUUGUUGUAUCAUGUCAUGAAAGGGUUGCGAGAUGAAUAAGCCAUCUCUCGGCAAGAAGGAUAACCUUUGAGUGCCUCUUGGUUGAGAAUGAGAUAUGUCAUGGUCGAUUGAAAAAGAUGUUGCUUCGACAAUUGGUGUCAGUUCAUAUUUGACCAGGAGUGCUAGGGUACGUACCAUGGUAAAUGAAAUUGUAUCGGAGAACCGACCGGCCUGUUCGUCAGAAAGCAGUUUUUAAACAGAUGCCUCGGAAUGCGAGGCCAGCAGAAAGUUGUAUGAAAUCCCAUUCUCGUACCUUGGUGAUUGCAUAACUGUGACUUUGAUGCAAGGUUUAGUUGGCAUCAGCGGUAACAUCUCCUUGGUAAUAGAGUUUGGUCAGUGGUGCACCGUGUAUUCACAAUAUACAUCCAUAUUUUGAACCCAUGUACCCACUGAUCGACAGUUCGAGGUCCGUGGGCGGUAUACCGGUCCCUCACCGGCAAACAGAGGUUUUCUCCGAGUGAAAGACCCUGGAGCUCUGAACUGGGGUAUUAUUUGAAUUCGGUGGAGAUACGACAAGGAAAAUCGGGGAAUUGGAAGUCGGCAGUUUUUGGCUUCACUCAAGGGUGGGGAAUGUGCAAGACGUUUGGCAUCGAUGAUGUGUGAGAGGAAAUGAGAAUAUUCACUGAUGAACUAGGACGUUGUUAAGUGUCUAUCGGUUCAGUUUUUUCAAUAGUAAUGGAUGUUUUGUCAAUCAGCUUUUUGUCGGUAAAAUUGAAAAUGAAUUAUUCUGAAGGAAAAAAAUUAUACUGUUAAGAAUCUUUUACCUUUUGUUGUCUAUUUUUUGUCCUGAGAGAAAUUUUUGUAGUUUCAAAAUUUGUAGCGUGAUUCAGUCCUGCUGUGAGAAAUCAAUGAAAAUAAAUUCCACUUUGGCAUGCCAUAAUGUUUCUCCUAUAUGUAUUGUCAAUGUCAACAGCCCAGCCCGUAUGUAAUGAAAAAUGAAGAAUGGUAAAUCAAGGGGAGCAUCAAUUACCAGUAGUUUUCUUCUUGUCGAGGACAUCCUCUGAAAUCACUCGGUAAAAAAGUGCACAGUCGGGAGAAGAAUCAGCAGCUCAGUGAGGUUGUGCCAAGAGGCCCUUUGCAGAUACGACUGUACCACCUGUAGG